UAAUUUCUGAUUUGAGUCUAGUCUUAACGGGUUCGAGUCAAAAUGGGUUGACCCGUUAAGACAUGAUUGCUUAAAGGGUUGAUAACAGGUCAACCCGUUAAGAAAGUUAAAGUUACAAUUAUACUCUAUACCUAAAAGUAAAAUUGUUGGGAUUUUAAUU